GGUAAUGUGGUCAGCUCACAGGUGACAGAGCUAGAGGGGAGGAGGGGUGUGCUUUGUUCACUCACUGAGGACCUUCCUCACUUCAUCUCCUCUCUGCCCUGCAGUCCAAUGGAAGCCCUUUCUCACUUCCCAGCGUGGGCAAACAAAUAUCUUUGGACUAGAUAUCUGAACACUUCUUCAGUGACAGCUGAAAACUCAACAAAGAGUUUCCAUCAUUGUAUCAGAGAUUCAUUCCUAGGAAGAUGGAGCCAUCCUUUUGUAUCCAUUGUAGUAGACCACUCCUUGGUACCCCAUCCUCUGGCUACAGCCUCUUUCCCAAGCCUGCUUGUAAACUGUCAUGUAUGUUUGCUGUGCUUAAUUCCCCAAAAGAAAGCAGUUUCCACCUAG
rnacentral:lncRNA from 1 species